rnacentral:rRNA from 1 species
CAGCCGCCACGGUAAAACGGAGGGUGCAAGCGUUAAUCGGAAUUACUGGGCGUAAAGCGCACGCAGGCGGUCUGACAAGUCAGAUGUGAAAUCCCCGGGCUUAACCUGGGAACUGCAUUUGAAACUGUCAGGCUGGAGUCUUGUAGAGGGGGGUAGAAUUCCAGGUGUAGCGGUGAAAUGCGUAGAGAUCUGGAGGAAUACCGGUGGCGAAGGCGGCCCCCUGGACAAAGACUGACGCUCAGGUGCGAAAGCGUGGGGAGCAAACAGGAUUAGAUACCCCAGUAGUCCCUGUCUCUUAUAC